UACGUAGGAGGCGAGCGUUGUCCGGAGUUACUGGGCGUAAAGGGUGCGCAGGCGGUGGUGCGCGUGGAUAGAUGAAAUCUCCUGGCUUACCUGGGAGGGUGGUAUCCAGACGGCAUCACUUGAGGGUCGGAGAGGGGCGUGGAAUUCCGGGUGUAGUGGUGGAAUGCGUAGAGAUCCGGAGGAACACCAGCGGCGAAGGCGGCGUCCUGGACUGGGCCUGACGCUCAGGAGCGAAAGCGUGGGGAGCGAUCCGG
rnacentral:rRNA from 1 species